rnacentral:tRNA from 1 species
AGGAUAAUAGUUAAUUAUAACGUUUAACUUGCACUUAAAAAGUAUUGGAAAUCCAAUUUAUCUUA